CCUACGGGAGGCAGCAGUAGGGAAUAUUGCUCAAUGGGGGAAACCCUGAAGCAGCAACGCCGCGUGGAGGAUGAAGGUUUUAGGAUCGUAAACUCCUUUUGUGAGAGAAGAUAAUGACGGUAUCUAACGAAUAAGCACCGGCUAACUCCGUGCCAGCAGCCGCGGUAAUACGGAGGGUGCAAGCGUUACUCGGAAUCACUGGGCGUAAAGAGCGCGUAGGCGGGAUAGCAAGUCAGAUGUGAAAUCCUAUGGCUUAACCAUAGAACUGCAUUUGAAACUGUUAUUCUAGAGUAUGGGAGAGGUAGGUGGAAUUCUUGGUGUAGGGGUAAAAUCCGUAGAGAUCAAGAGGAAUACUCAUUGCGAAGGCGACCUGCUAGAACAUAACUGACGCUGAUGCGCGAAAGCGUGGGGAGCAAACAGGAUUAGAUACCCCAGUAGUC
rnacentral:rRNA from 1 species